rnacentral:rRNA from 1 species
GGCGGACGGGUGAGGAAUAUUUGGGAAUCUGCCCAUCAGCGGGGGACAACCCGGGGAAACCCGGGCUAAUACCGCAUACGCUCUACGGAGGAAAGCCGGGGACCGCAAGGCCUGGCACUGAUGGAUGAGCCCAAAUCGGAUUAGCUAGUUGGCGGGGUAACGGCCCACCAAGGCGACGAUCCGUAGCUGGUCUGAGAGGACGAUCAGCCACACCGGAACUGAGACACGGUCCGGACUCCUAC